GGUAUGACUCUUGAUAAUGGAUAUCUUAGCUCUCACACCAAUGAAGAAUGUAGCAAAAUGCAAUACAUGGUGUGAAUUGCAGAAUCCCACGAACCAUCGAGUCCUUGAAUGCAAGUUGUGCCCGAGGCUGCUAGGCCGAAGGCGCGCCUGCUUGGGCAUCAUGC
rnacentral:rRNA from 1 species